rnacentral:rRNA from 1 species
AGAGUUUGAUUAUGGCUCAGGAUGAACGCUGGCGGCGUGCCUAACACAUGCAAGUCGAGCGGAGAGGUUGCGGAGAUUCAAUCGAUGAUCUGCUUCUCUUAGCGGCGGAUGGGUGAGUAACACGUGGGUAACCUGCCCUGCACUGGGGAAUAACAGUUGGAAACGACUGUUAAUACCGCAUAUGCGCACGGGGUCGCAUGACCCUGGGCGGAAAGAUUUAUCGGUGCAGGAUGGGCCCGCGUCGGAUUAACUGGUUGGUGAGGGUAAUGGCCCACCAAGGUGAUGAUCCGUAGCCGACCUGAGAGGGUGACCGGCCACAUUGGGACUGAGACACGGCCCAAACUCCUACGGGAGGCAGCAGUGGGGGAUAUUGCACAAUGGGCGCAAGCCUGAAUGCAGCGACGCCGCGUGAAGGAAGACGUAUUUCGGUAUGUAAACUUCUAUCAGCGGGGAAGAAGAUGACGGUACCCGACUAAGAAGCCCCGGCUAAUUACGUGCCAGCAGCAGC